rnacentral:rRNA from 1 species
UACGUAGGGUGCAAGCGUUGUCCGGAAUUAUUGGGCGUAAAGAGCUCGUAGGCGGUUUGUUGCGUCGGCUGUGAAAUCCCGAGGCUCAACCUCGGGUCUGCAGUCGAUACGAGCAAACUAGAGUGUUGCAGGGGAGACUGGAAUUCCUGGUGUAGCGGUGAAAUGCGCAGAUAUCAUGAGGAACACCGGUGGCGAAGGCGGGUCUCUGGGCAACAACUGACGCUGAGGAGCGAAAGCGUGGGGAGCGAACCGG